GCUUCAAGGACCAACAACACAUCUCAGUAUGACUAGUUCAGAGUCAACUACAGUACACAGACACUCCAGGCUCCUAUAUGAUGCCAUUAAAGGCAACUGGUUAAACAUUGCUGACCUGUGGGAGAGGCUGUGGACUGGUCUUUGAACAGUAUAGGUGACUUGUACAGGCCAAGCUUACCCCUCCUGACCUGACCUUCACUCACAGACUCGUCUCAGGAAAACUGUUUGAACUAUUUUCACUUUUCUAGUAAUGUUUUAAUCUCAUUUUGUUUUAUAUACCGUAUGUAUUAUGGUGUGAGUUAUGUCUGCAUUGCCUUGGGGUACUGUACUGCCAUCCCACUUGCACGAUCGUCUGUUUUAUGUGACUUUUACCAUCUUAGUUAAAUGAUCAGCUUAGGUUAAGUUAGGUUACGUUGGGUUGGGUUGGGUUAUGUUAUGUUAUGUUAUGUUAUGUUAUGUUAUGUAUCUAUCUAUCAUCUUUAUUGUGGGAAUAUAGAAAUGCCUGUCUUCCAUCAGUUCAUGCGGCCAUUUUAGUGCUGCUCCGUGGAUUCUCCCUCAAGUUCAAGAUUAUCAGUAUUUUAAUGAAAGGAAGGACUUACUCCUUCCCUGUGUGGUUCAUCCUCUCACAGGGGGACUGUCUUUGUUUACACCUACAUCAGUCAUGUUGAGAGCCUUCACAAAAAUAACACCUUCUAGAGACCCCCAAUUUUUGGACAGCUGCAGACACAGGUUCCUCUGAAGAAUCAACAGUCCCAGAAAUAAAUGCUGCAUAGUUUACUAGAGAUGAUCCUUGUACAUAGGACUCAGAAUUCCUCUGAGAGAGAUCCAGUGCCCUAGCUUGGUCAAAGGCUGUCUGUAGAUCCAGACUCUUAUUUUCUAGGAGGUGCUAAUGAAUCAGUGGUGUCAUGAGUCAUUGAUGAAAGUCUCUUAUAUAGUCAUCCUAGUUCUGUUCUGCUCUAACAGCCUUGAAGUUGUACUCCUUACGGAGCUGGUGAAGUUCCUGUGUGUAUUCAUCCAAUGUUUCAUCUUGAAGUUGUACUCCUUACCGAGAUGGAUUUUCACCCUGACGUUGUCUUCUUGUGCCCAGAAGAUGUCGAGCAAAGAUUUCAUUCCUGGGCUUCACGUAGAGAUCCUGAAUAAUCUAUAUUGCAGCCUCAUAAGUGUCAUUAUCGGCUAUAUAUUUGUAUACACUAGGAGACACAAAGUUGAUGAGGGUGUUCAAUAUGUCAGGUGUGUGGAAUGCAAUGGACUAAAGGAAGCUAUAGAAUGUGUGGUACCAGUGGCACCACUUCCUAGCUGCUUCUGGUGAGUUUAGACUAGAAUCCAAUCUCUGGCUGCAGACACUUCUCCGUGGUGACUCAUGACAGUUAAGAUGAAUAAAUUGCAAUGAAACAGA
rnacentral:lncRNA from 1 species